UACGGAGGGGGCGAGCGUUAUUCGGAAUUAUUGGGCGUAAAGGGCGCGUAGGCGGCUUUGUAAGUCAAAGGUGAAAUCCCUCGGCUCAACUGAGGAACUGCCUUUGAAACUGCAAGCUUGAGGCCGGGAGGGGGUAGCGGAAUUCCCAAUGUAGCGGUGAAAUGCGUAGAUAUUGGGAGGAACACCAGUGGCGAAGGCGGCUACCUGGACCAACACUGACACUGAGGAGCGAAAGCCAGGGGAGCAAACGGG
rnacentral:rRNA from 1 species